UUCACCCUUUUUUACUCCGUCCACCUUCCUCUGGCUAAAAUGUCUUAGCCUGAAUUAGUGGAAGGAGCUUUAUCCUUAUACAUAUACCUGUGGAAUUGCAGCAUAGCUAUUUCUUUAAGAGUCAAGCAAGGCCGAAGGCUGACGCAGCGCGCCCACCGUGAAAGGAAGGGUGACACCCGCUAGUCUAUCUUAGAUAAUGUCAGUUUCUAAAAUGCACCAUCUGCUGUUCAGUGCAUGCUGGGAAAGGCUCGUUCCAGACAGGAGAUGUUAAGGCCUGUUGCAGAUCGACCAUAAAUCCCAAACUUAGUCGUCCUUUUUGUCGCAAAGGGAUGUUGCUGUCUGGCCGAAGAUGGAACGUGGAUGAAGGCUGGACAGAGACCUCUAUGACAGCCCCUCUGAGGACUGAAUGGACAGCGGCGUCUGAUGAAUGGCCAGCCUCCCUCUUAAUCACAAAGCACUCGCACCAAGUGAGACACAGCAACAAAGGCAUCUAUGAGGUUCUUAAAAUACCUUCGCUGACAAACUAACUUUUGGUGGUUUAUCGCUGUUUCUCUUUUGCAACUGGUCAUGUCAACAAUUUUUUUUCUUUUUUUUUAUUGUAUAUUUGUAUGUCAUUGUAUUUUAUAUUAAAUGCAAGAAAAGUUAGAUUGAUAGUGCCUUCCGCUAAAGUCUUCUUUUACACGGAUUCUAAUACUUUGUACUUUGUACUGUUCAAAUGAUAUAUAGGUAUUUCAUAGAUUACAUUGUAACAGUACAGACAUAUAUGGUGUACAUGUCUUUCUUUCUAAGGGACUUGUUAUUCUCUAUUUUCACGUUUCCCCUUUCUCUUUCACAUGCCCUGAUUCUCUUGAAUUGUAGAGAAAGAAGUCAAAUUUGUCCAAGGGGGCAUAAAAAAGUAUUUUGUCUUUGUUGUAAAGGGUUUUGGCUGAAGACGAUCCCAUGCGUCAGAGGACCAGUCGUUCAAAAUUACAACCGCCCCGUUGAUGUGUCUUGAAGAUGAUUAUCCACUGAGAUUGGGCCUCUGUAGCUGAACACGCCCAGGGGAGCCUCAUCACCCCCGCUGUAAUAGUCAAGAACAAAAGGAGUGCAGAGGGAAGGAGAGGAGAGAGGCAUGAAUUCCACUGAGCUACAACAAAGAACAUAGCCCCCCCCGACCUCCCCUCCAUUCUCUCCUCACACCGUCUACGUGAAGAUAGCUCGAUCCCCAUCUCAGCCAGCGAGAGAGA
ensembl:lncRNA